rnacentral:rRNA from 1 species
GACGAACGCUGGCGGCGCGCUUAACACAUGCAAGUCGAACGGAAAGGCCUGCUUUCCCUUGUGGAUUGCGGGUACUCGGGUGGCGAACGGGUGAGUAACACGUGAGUGAUCUGCCCCCAACUUGGGGAUAAGCCUGGGAAACUGGGUCUAAUUCCCGAUAGGACUGCAGGGUGGUGCCUGUGGUGGGAAACGAUUUUCUAGUGGUUGGGGAUGAGCUCGCGGCCUAUCAGCUUGUUGGUGGGGUAAUGGCCUACCAAGGCCGCGACGGGUAGCCGGCCGGGGAGGGUGGAGGGCCACAUGGGGACUGAGAUCCGGCCCAGGCGCGUACGGGAGGCAGCAGUGGGGGAGAUUGCACAAUGGGCGCAAGCCGGAUGCAGCGACGCCGCGUGGGGGAUGACGGCCUUCGGGUGGGAAACUACUUUCGCUAGGGACGAAGCUUUUUGUGACGGUACCUAGAUAAGAAGCACCGGCUAACUACGUG